UAGGACGUAGCUAAUAGUAAGCAUCUCCCUUACACCGAGAGGAUCCUCGUGCGAAUCGAGACGUUCUUA
rnacentral:tRNA from 1 species